GAUGAACGCUGGCGGCGUGCCUAAUACAUGCAAGUCGAGCGAACGGACGAGAAGCUUGCUUCUCUGAUGUUAACGGCGGACGGGUGAGUAAAACGUGGAUCACCUACCUAUAAGACUGGGAUAACUUCGGGCAACCGGAGCUAAUCCCGGAUAAUAUUUUGAACCGCAUGGUUCAAACGUGCAAGACGGUCUUGCUGUCACUUAUAGAUGGAUCCGCUCUGCAUUAGCUAGUUGGUAAGGUAACGGCUUACCCAGGCAACGAUGCAUAGCCGACCUAAGCGGGUGAUUGACCCAACCUGAACCGAGACACGUGCCAAACACCUACGGGAGGCAGCGUUAAGGAAUCUUACGCAAUGGGCGAAAGCCGUACGGGGCCACCCCGCGUGAGUGAGGAAGGCUCUCGGAUUCGAAAACUCUGUUAUUAGGGAAGAACAUAUGUGUAAGUAACUGUGCACAUCUUGACGGUACCUAAUCAGAAAGCCACGGCUAACUACGUG
rnacentral:rRNA from 1 species